UACGUAGGGUGCGAGCGUUGCCCGGAUUUAUUGGGCGUAAAGAGCUCGUAGGCGGCUUGUUGCGUCGACCGUGAAAACCCGGGGCUCAACUUCGGGCUUGCGGUCGAUACGGGCGGGCUAGAGUUCGGUAGGGGAGACUGGAAUUCCUGGUGUAGCGGUGAAAUGCGCAGAUAUCAGGAGGAACACCGGUGGCGAAGGCGGGUCUCUGGGCCGAUACUGACGCUGAGGAGCGAAAGCGUGGGGAGCGAACAGG
rnacentral:rRNA from 1 species